rnacentral:rRNA from 1 species
UACGUAGGCAGCGAGCGUUGUUCGGAAUUACUGGGCGUAAAGAGUGUGUAGGCGGUGCUCUAAGUUCGGUGUGAAAUCUCCCGGCUUAACUGGGAGGGUGCGCCGGAAACUGGGGUGCUGGAGCGCGGGAGAGGAAAGCGGAAUUCCUGGUGUAGCAGUGAAAUGCGUAGAUAUCAGGAGGAACACCGGCGGUGUAGACGGCUUUCUGGACCGUAGCUGACGCUGAGACACGAAAGCGUGGGUAGCAAACAGG